UUGAUCUUUAUCUAACCCUAAUUUCCAACAGUUGAAAACCUCUUCCCUCUUUACUCGCCAACCGCCACCUUCAAACCAUUGAACCCUCCCUUAAUUCUCUCUCCUCCAUCUCUAUAACUCUCCUUACCCAUCAAAUUCCUUGAAUUUCAUCAUCAAAUCCUAAUUUCGACCAUUUAAAAAUUUCUCUCUACAAUAAUCCAUCUUAUUUUCUAUGACCUCCAUCCCUUUUCGACGCUCCCUAAUUUAACCCUCCACUACCUUUUCAUCUCCUCCAUUAUUGUUACUUUCAUUUCCACCAGGGACGUUUUAUCUUCAUUCUUUGCAAACUUCAUCAAUUUGUGUUACUUUUACUACCACCAUCGACUCCACCUUCACCUUAAAAUACAUCAACGGCGGCGGCGUUUGUAAUUUCUUGAAAUCUAGCAUUAUAUGGUGCGAGCCUCGACGGUUUCAGCGAUGAUUGAACAAAGAUGAUGACAAGUUUUGCUUUCAGAAAUCAAGAAGACUGAAUCUUAUUCAUUUGUUUUUUUUUUUCUGUACUUGUUGCAAAUAUAAAUACUUGUAUUUUACUGUAAUUAUUUUAAUCAGUAAAAUAUUUUAAAUCGAAAGAUUAGGGGAUAAAUUUACCGUGA